rnacentral:rRNA from 1 species
AUUGAACGCUGGCGGAAUGCUUUACACAUGCAAGUCGAACGGCAGCACGGGGCAACCUGGUGGCGAGCGGCGAACGGGUGAGUAAUACAUCGGAACGUGCCCAAUCGUGGGGGAUAACGUAGCGAAAGUUACGCUAAUACCGCAUACGAUCUACGGAUGAAAGAGGGGGAUCGCAAGACCUCGCGCGACUGGAGCGGCCGAUGUCAGAUUAGCUAGUUGGUGAGGUAAAGGCUCACCAAGGCGACGAUCUGUAGCGGGUCUGAGAGGACGAUCCGCCACACUGGGACUGAGACACGGCCCAGACUCCUACGGGAGGCAGCAGUGGGGAAUUUUGGACAAUGGGGGCAACCCUGAUCCAGACAUGCCGCGUGAGGGAAGAAGGCCUUCGGGUUGUAAACCGCUUUUGGAAGGAACGAAACGGCGACUCCUAAUACGGGUGGCUAAUGACGGUACCUGCAGAAUAAGCACCGGCUAACUACGUGCCAGCAGCCGCCGUAAAAC